rnacentral:lncRNA from 1 species
UGAUUUUUUAUUUUAAUCUAAAAUCUUUCUCAAGACAGCAAAAGGGAUGACGUUUUACACAUUGACAGAUUUGGCUUACUAAUUUUUGUUGUAGUAUAUUCUCAUUAUGUCAGAAUCUGAAGGCAGUGCUAGUGGAAUGUCUGUAAGUUUUAUAAUAUGAAACAGGUGUAACUUUUAAAAUAGUAGAAAGUCCGUAUCAGUAGUUUUUUUUACAUGAAUUUACAAGUUUUAUAUGAUCUUUACUUUUAGAAAAAAACUAUCAGGUUUUUUAAAACUGCAAGUAAACCUAUGGCUAUAGCUAUAAAUUAUUGCUUGAUAUGGCUGUGAUACUGACUAGUUAAUUCGUCUAUCCUUCAAAUCCGAC